GUGUAUGAGGAAAUAGGCCCUGCCACAGAAACAGAAGGUUCUGAAGUAGUUGGGCAGCACAGUUUCUAUUCAGCCGUUCAGUUAAAACCAUUAAACCAAGGUCCUACUGCAUAAUUGGACACAGGGAUCCAUAUUCACUCAGUCUUACCUUCAUAUGUGAGGGAAUAUAUUCU